rnacentral:lncRNA from 1 species
GGGGUAUACAAUUACUUAUACUUUCUCUCUCUAUAUAUAUCUAUUAUUUAACAGUUUAUACACACACACACUGACACACACAAUAAUGGUGUAUGUGUGAAUCUAGGGUUUUGACCUUUUGGUAGUCUAUUGGCAAAAUGCCAAAGUCGUCUAAGGUUAAUGCAUGUUACAAAAAGACAAAAUAAUAAUAAUAAUAAUACUACAUAGUUGUACCAUAUUUCAGAAGUAGCUCAAGAAUACAUCUAAAUAUAUUCAUAAUAUAUAGGUCUUGAUGUCUCUUGACCAUUUCAGUUUUCAUAUUUUGCAUUUAUGCUUACAUAAGAAAACGCAGAUUUUCUAAAAGUAAAGUAUUUUUCACUUGUUUAAUGAAGAAUAUUUUGAAAAAAUGUGUAAACGCAAACACAUGAUUGUGUUCGCGUACAUUAAACACGAAAAACAGCGCAAAAAACAAAACAAACAAUCGAGUUCAUAUAGUCAACAUAUAAUCUAGAUUGGUUUGGUCGCUAGUUUUUUUUUUUGUUUUUCUAUGGCAUGAUUGGUUUGGUCUUGGUGUAGUUAAAAAACGUAUUAUUGUGAAUAUCUCUCUAUAGAUUUAGAUUUUAACCAAUAAACAUGUGUGUAAAGAUGGAAAGGAGGAGGUGUUCAAGGAGAGAAGAGAGAUAGAUGAUGAGAAUAAAACAUUGACAUUAAGAGGACUUGAGGGUCACGUGAUGGAGCAGCUCAAAGUGUAUGACGUCAUCUACCAAUUCAUUCCCAAAUCUGAGGAUAGCUGCGUCUGCAAAAUCACUUUAAUAUGGGAGAAGCGCAACGAUGAGUCCCCCGAACCAAGCGGCUACAUGAAAUUCGUCAAGAGCUUGGUUGCUGACAUGGAAGAACACGUCAUCAAAACUUAAUCAUCAUUCCCACGGUCACAGUCACCAUCAAUCCAUCAUCAUCACCAUCUUCAUCAUCAUCAUCACUAUCUCGAUUUAUUACUUAAGGUGUUUUUCAGUAUAAUAAAUGGGGUCUUGUGGAGUUUCAUCAUUUCUAUGUGUUACCGUUUGGUUAUGUAAGAUGCUUUGAUAUAUUGUUAUGCUCAUGAUCAUAUAUCAGGUUCGAUAUAGUGAUUCUUAAGAAUAAUUUACUACACGUUUCAGUGUUUAUUAUAUUUGCAAUUUUCACAUAUAUGGAUUAGUAAACGUCUACUGGUAUUAGGUAACGAUGUAGUAUGUAUGGAUUAGGCAAAAUUCUGAACUACGUAUAUAUUAUGGUCACACUCACAUAUUAUACAUCUCAUUUUCACCUCAAUUGGACUGUUUUCACCCUACUAAUCUUGAUGACGUACAUAAAUAGACCGCAAAAAUAUCAUUGCGAUAGAUUCUGUUUUUACAAAUUGCACAAGAUUCUAGAAAAAUAUGUCGACUUGAUAAUUUUCAAUUUUCUUUACAUUGUAGGUCGAUUUUUUGUCAAAACAAAGGCCUUCGCCCUUCGUAUUAAAAAAUGACCAGUGCAUCAUUUAUGCAAAAUCUUUGUUUUUUUCUAAAAGAACCAUAAAAACGACAUCUAUAAAUAGUAAAAUAUUUAUUCUAUACAUGUUUAUUAAACAUAAAAUUAAAAAGUUUUCACUUCAUAUACCAAGUAAGUACCCGCUGAUCUAGUAAAGAUUUUGUUGUAAAUGUGCCUGAUUGUAAAACUUUGAGUUUACGACCAUAAGUAGAUCAUCCAGAAAUCGGACUUUCCAUGCAGCUACACCAUUAUUAAAUUGUAACGUAUAUAUGCGUUCAAUGAUUGAUGUUACAAAAUUCCUGGCCCAUGCAGAUGAUUUUAUUUGUUUACGAAAAAUGCAACUACUCUGAUGCUGUCGAGAUUUAUUAUUGCUUGCUUCUCACCGACUUCAAAUCACUCGACCCCACCAAUCCGAUACGGCGAAUAUGUGUCUCAUGAGUCACGACCUGAUCCUAUCAAAUUUGGAAUCCCGAAAUGAAAAAUAAAAGAGUGUCUCUUUCAACUAGUAAAAACCACUAGAGUGUAAGCUUAUUUGAUGUUAGGAAUAGAUCCAUCUAGAUAGAGAUUAUAAGGGAGCAUGAUUAAUGUCCCAUAUAAGUAUUAUCAACGGCUGAUUUCGAGUAGUCUAUGAGUUUAGAACACUUUUUAAAGUUAGUUUCUUGUAGUUUAAAAACAGUAAUUUUUUCGCAAGAGAUACAGUAAAUUAGGGUUCGUUUAUCCGAUUCCAAUUCUAGGCUAAGUAAUUUGGAUACUAAUUAAAGCGUUAACAGAGAAGAUUUGCAUCGUCAUAUGUAUUGAAAGACCCCAAGUUCUUCUUGGCCCAUUUGUAUUGAAAGCCAAUUGUAUGGACCAUUAAUGAUCCAUCCUGGUUACUAAAGACUAAAGAGUAAAGAGUGAGUAAACUGCUCAACUAUGGGAAAACUAAGGAAACUCAUCACUCAUCAGUCCCAUAAGUUUAUUAUAUUCUCUUUUUAGUAGGAUGGGUGUUGAGUUCAUUUUAUUAGUAAUAAUUUUUGUUAGAGCUUUUUUUCUAUGUAACGUACUCUGAGAUCAAAUGAGAUUGGCUACUUCAGUUUUUCCUUGAACAUUACGUUGUGGAAGCGACAAUACUAUUAAGGAUUUAUCAUUGAUUUUCUUGCACAGUAUCCCAGGGCCAAGAACUUUGGAAGAGAAAUACAUAUGUUCGGAGUUUUUAUUUCAAUGUGUAUCUCUCUUUCAUUCUCUUUGUUUGCUUUUUUUCAGAAAAACAAAAAUAUGAAGAAACAUAUAAUUAAAAGACAUGCAUAAUUAAUUUUUAAUUUUAUACUAGCUAUGAUAUCAUGCGAUCACGACGUGGAGAUGCUCUAACACAGUAACGCACCAUCUUCCAAACUUAGUCACCCUCAGUGGAUUUCAAGACAAAUAUCAAGACAAUUAUAUAUGGUCAUCUGUAAUUUGAAUGCUACACAAUUUUGGAUUCUGUGGCGCUUAUGGAAAUUAUCAUUUCUCUUGAGAGCGAUAUGACAAAACAACGACAAAGCCAUAAAUGAUGCAACUAAAAAUCCAUAUAAUUUACCACAAAUAAUGCAAUUCAAUCUGAAGCAAAAAAUGUUCUUUAUGACUUGCCGACAUCAAUAAUGCUAUUUAGAGGCACACGGACCAUGUCCGACCUUAAUCUAAAGCCCCACAAACUGUUGUUCGAUGCAGCAUAUAUAAGUUUUUUUUUUUUUGUUUGGUCUAAAUUUCAUUACCAAAGAGGAUACAAGGUAUAAUAAUACAUGGUGGAAAACGGUAGAGAUACACAAAGCCGGCAUAAUCUUCGGUUCCUGGGUUUGAAUCGUAUAUUCCUCUUUUAUUCUUUUUAUGAUUUUUAAUUUAGUAUUUAGUGAAAAACAAUUCAACGUCUAUAUUUACAUUUUGCAUGAAAAUAAAAUUAAAUAAAGAUUUUUUUUAAACGUCUAUAUAAUAAAGAACAGAGCAAUUGUAUAUCCUAAAUAAGUAAACACAAAUCGUUUAAACACUUGGCUUUUAUGUACAUUUGUUUCGAUUACCACAUAUAUAUAUAUAUAUAUAUAUAUAUAUAUACACAGAUAUUAAUAAUUGUUCUCGUGAUUAGUAUGUAUGGGGCAUGAAUCAUGGUAGAUGAUUAUCUUCUAAGGGAUGCUGUAGUGCCAACUACCCACGUUAAUAACGUGGUCCAAAAUUAAAUAACAUUAUAAUUGAAAGCCUUUUAACAAAAAUAAUUAAAUAACACAUCUCUUACUCAUUAAAUAGUGUAUGGUUAAAAAGAGAGAGAGAAGAUUUUAGUAUGCACUAUCAAAUGAUAAAAAGAAACGGUAGAAAGUAGAAACCAUGCAUGUUUUUAAGCGUCACGUUCACUAUAUAAACCUAGGCGACGACUAGUAUAAAAUCUCAUCAAUCAAAAAACAAGUGGAAGCUUCAAAACGAGAGAGAGAGAGAGAGAAAUAAAUGGCGACGUCGGGAACAUACGUGACGGAGGUUCCAUUGAAAGGAUCGGCGGAGAAACACUACAAGAGCUGGAAAAGCGAGAACCAUGUCUUCCCUGACACCAUCGGCCAACACAUCCAUAAUGUCGUUGUUCACGAAGGCGAACAUGACGCUCACGGGUCUAUCAGGAGUUGGGACUACACAUAUGGUAUACAUUUACUUAUACUUUCUCUCUACAUUUAUUUAAGAGAUUUAACACUAUUAUGGCCUAAGUGUGAAACUAUAGUUUUGGUCGUCUAUUGCCAAAUAUGAAAUAUAUGAUCAUUAAUGAAUGUUUUAUAAGACCAAAAAAAUGAAAAUAUCAUUUUUUGUAUUUAUGUUUACAUAUGAAAACAAAAGUCAUAUGUUUAAAAGUAAAGUACUUUUCAUUUUCUAGAAUAAUUUUAAAAAUAUAAACGCAAACACAUGAUAGUCACAUAUUUAUCAUUUUUAUGGCAUGACUAGCUAGUCGGAUGUUGGAAAUUGUAACUAAUAUUAAACAUACAUGUGUGUAAAGAUGGAAAGAAGGAGACGUUCAAAGAGAGGAGAGAGAUAGAUGAUGAGAAUAAAACAUUGACGAAAAGAGGACUGGAGGGUCACCCGAUGGAGAACCUCAAAGUGUUUGAUGUCAUUUACCAAUUCAUUCCCAAAUCUGAGGAUACCUGCGUCUGCAAACUCACUAUGCUAUGGGAGAAGCGCAACGAUGACUUUCCCGAACCAAGCGG